UGAAGCCGACAGCGCAGUGUUUUCUGGGUAACGCGGUUCAAAGGUCAUCGUCAUUGAGCAACGACAGACAGAACCGCGAGACAUAACCAGAUCGGGAAGCUAUGACAUGAUUCUGUUGGAGACAGAAUAUGGCAGUACGUCCAUCCCGCCACAAUCUUCACCUGCGGGAUCGUCUGAGACCAGCGACGGGACAGCUGAUGAAACUGAGGAGCAUUUCUGUCUCUAAUAAAACUAUUUUGUGGGGAAAAACUAAUUCUGAUUGGCUGGGCCUGGUUCUCCAGUGGGUGGACCUGGCUCCCAAAUGGGCGGGCCUUUGCCCUCCCAGGUCCAUCCAUGGCUGCGGCCCUGCCCAGUCAUGUGAUAUCUAUACAUUAGAGCCUAAUGAAUUCAUUUAAAUUGACAGAUUUCCUUAUAUGAACUGUAACUCAGUAAAAUCAUUGAAAUUGUUGCAUGUUGUGUUUUAUAUGUUUGUUCAUUAAAAAUCCAAUGACAUGGUGCUA